UACGAAGGGGGCUAGCGUUGCUCGGAAUUACUGGGCGUAAAGCGCACGUAGGCGGCUUUCUAAGUCGGGGGUGAAAUCCUGGAGCUCAACUCCAGAACUGCCUUCGAUACUGGAGAGCUCGAGUCCGGGAGAGGUGAGUGGAACUGCGAGUGUAGAGGUGAAAUUCGUAGAUAUUCGCAAGAACACCAGUGGCGAAGGCGGCUCACUGGCCCGGUACUGACGCUGAGGCGCGAAAGCGUGGGGAGCAAACAGG
rnacentral:rRNA from 1 species